rnacentral:tRNA from 1 species
GGAUAAAUGGCAGAGUGGAUGAUUGCGACGGCUUCGAAAGCCGUUUUAGCCUUUUGCUAACGAGGGUUCGAAUCCCUCUUUUUCCG